AAGUCGUAACAAGGUUUCCGUAGGUGAACCUGCGGAAGGAUCAUUAACAAAUCAUUUGUAGCGGUCGGGGGAGAGGGAGACCUUUCUCUUGACUUGCUCACAUAAACCCAAACCCGUGCAGUAAUGCCGGGUGCGGUGUGUAGGUGCUGGGGUGGGUGAGAUGGCGCGAGUCUGUACCGAUGCGAGUCUUUACUGACGCGAGUCGUCCUAUCCCCCCCCUCCCUACGCGGUGAAGGACGCAAGUCUGGAUCCACAUAGACGCUUGUUUUUGUUUGACAGAGUUAUGAAGUAUCAUCUAAAUGAGACAACUUUUAACAAUGGAUCUCUUGGCUCUU
rnacentral:misc_RNA from 1 species